rnacentral:rRNA from 1 species
CGGACGGGUGAGUAAUGUCUGGGAAACUGCCCGAUGGAGGGGGAUAACUACUGGAAACGGUAGCUAAUACCGCAUAACGUCGCAAGACCAAAGAGGGGGCCUUCGGGCCUCUUGCCAUCGGAUGUGCCCAGAUGGGAUUAGCUAGUAGGUGGGGUAAUGGCUCACCUAGGCGACGAUCCCUAGCUGGUCUGAGAGGAUGACCAGCCACACUGGAACUGAGACACGGUCCAG